GUCGAACGAGAAAGUGGAGCAUCCAUGAGUAAAGUGGCGUACGGGUGAGUAACACGUGGAUGAUCUGCCCUUUAGUGGGGAAUACCGUUGGGAAACCGACGACAAUACCGCAUAAGCUCGAGAGAGGAAAGCAGCAAUGCGCUGGAGGAGGAGUCCGCGGUCGAUUAGCUAGUUGGUGAGGUAAUGGCUCACCAAGGCUGUGAUCGAUAGCCGGCCUGAGAGGGCACACGGCCACACUGGCACUGAAACACGGGCCAGACUCCUACGGGAGGCAGCAGUGGGGAAUCUUGCACAAUGGGGGAAACCCUGAUGCAGCGACGCCGCGUGAGCGAUGAAGCCCUUCGGGGUGUAAAGCUCUUUCGGCAGGGAAGAUUAUGACGGUACCUGCAGAAGCAGCUGCGGCUAACUACGUGCCAGCAGCCGCGGUAAUACGUAGGCAGCAAGCGUUGUUCGGAGUUACUGGGCGUAAAGGGUGCGUAGGCGGCUCUAUAAGUAUGGUGUGAAAUCUCCCGGCUUAACUGGGAGGGUGCGCUAUAGACUGUGGGGCUAGAGUGUGGGAGAGGAAAGUGGAAUUCCUGGUGUAGCGGUGAAAUGCGUAGAUAUCAGGAGGAACACCGGUGGUGUAAACGGCUUUCUGGACCAUAACUGACGCUGAGGCACGAAAGCGUGGGUAGCAAACAGGAUUAGAUACCCUGGUAGUCCACGCCCUAAACGAUGCAUAUUUUGGUGUGGGUCAUUCAGUUGAUCCGUGCCGGAGCUAACGCGUUAAAUAUGCCGCCUGGGGAGUACAGUCGCAAGGCUGAAACUC
rnacentral:rRNA from 1 species